rnacentral:rRNA from 1 species
AGUCUAACCUGCCCAAUGAUGAGACUAAAUGGCUGCAGUAUCCUGACUGUACAAAGGUAGCAUAAUAACUUGUCUUAUAAUUGAAGAAUAGAAUGAAUGGUUUGACAAAGGUAUAGCUGUCUCUUAUGUAUUUGUUUGAAGUUAACCUCUAAGUUAAAAGCCUUAGAUAAAAUUAAAGGACGAGAAGACCCUAUUGAGCUUAAAUUAGCAAUAAUAUUAAUAAAAGAUAUUUAAGAUUUGUUAUAAGAUUGUGAGUUUUAGUUGGGGCGACUAAGGGACAAAUAAAGCUCUCUUUAAUAUUAUUAUAAAGAUGUUUAUUGAUCCAAUUAUUUUGAAUUAAAAUCAAGUUACCAUAGGGAUAACAGCGUGAUCUUUUUUGAGAGUUCUAAUCGAAAAAAUGGAUUACGACCUCGAUGUUGGAUUAAGGUUUAAUAAGGGUUGCAGAAGCUUUUAUGAUUAGUCUGUUCGA